rnacentral:tRNA from 1 species
AAAGUCCUAGCUUAAUUAAAGUAUCUGAGUUGCAUUCAGGGGAUGCAGGGUAGUGUCCUGCGGAUUUUA